CACUUUUGCAGAACAAACUGACAGCUAGGGCAUUCCCUUGGGAGAGGAGACUGGAGGUCCUCAGGUAGGGUGUUUAUUCUCCAGAUUGUUUCUGGUUUUUGAUUUAGUCUCAAAAUGAAUACAAUGAAGAAUGCAUACUUAAUCUGGGGAGAGUAUGUAUGAGUCUGUCCACACUCAUCGAACUAAGCAUCCAGAUCACCAGUAUAACACUUUGUUCUGACAUUUCUGGCUUCCUAACAAUUUUCAGCAAACACAGAUGAAGAUGUACUUGUUCUAUUAACCACUGUCUAAGGCAUUCACAAAUGAAAUACAGCAUAUAGGUUUGAAUGCCCUUAGAGAAGAGAGGCUGUGAGAGUUGGUCCGGAGAUGGAGCAGUAUUUGCCUGAACAUUGCCAUCAAGAACUUAGAGAACUGAAGCCCUGACAGAAAAAACACAUGGACAAUGACUUGGAGAGAAGUCCGAGGAGAAGCAUUGUGUUGCACUGUUUCUCCGAUUCGGGGGGGCUGCUACUAACAAUGGCUGCUGUGUGGACUUUGCCUGCUGCUUCAGCUAAACGAGCCCUAGCGUCCUGAAAGCUAUUGUUAUGAGGAUCUCUUUGACGCAGGGACAAUAGCUGCCGUCCAGAAGAAUGUGUUCUCACCUGCAGCCUCAGUUACAUGUGUCCCUCCCCUGCUCCCUCAAACAAUGGCUAACGAAAAGGAACAUGCCCAGAAGCUUGCCAAGGGUCCUGAGGUCACCAAAUGGACCAGAAAAAGACCACUGAAUGCUGGACACGUAAGCGUUGGCAGAAGAAAUAGUGAAUCUUUUGAGCCUGCGCAGUACAAGCUUGGGUUGCGAAAUCAAGGCAGAGGCUGGUCUAAAACAAUGGGAGCAAGUAGGGGUGAAGAAGCAUAAAAGAUGACUCCAGAAUGAACACUGUUGAAGAUCUUCCCACCAGAGGAUCCUGAACCAUGACGGAGGACCAGCAGGACUCCACAGGACUGCAGACCAGAGGAACACUUUUGGAACUGGACUGGUGGUGAAUUUGAGUUCCACUCAUCACCUUGAAUAAAUGGAGGUCCCUGGAGUAUUCUGUGUUCUGAACCAUGUGCCAGAUGCAUAGCUAAGGGUGCAGUGCUGAGAGUACCAAGUGAGACUAAAGCACGUGCUGUGAUGAGUCAAUACUUACAGCAUUCUGCAUUUUGCAGCAAAGCAAAGAACAGAAGCAAGAUACUAAUUUAAACUACAUCUUGGACGCCUUUGUGACCUGAAGCUGGAUUCCUCUUGCCUACCUGGAGUGAAGAACUGAACUGGCACAAGACCCUGAUGGUGGUUGUGCAGGGCUUGGUGAAGAAACAUCCUGUGCUGUGUCCAACGAGGCAGUUCUGGGAGUACUCUUCAGUCCUGGUUCACAUAAGACCAGGUAUAUGUGUGGCAGAAUGCAACCCCCCCUCUCUCCCCCUCCCUCCUUCAGUAUGGAAGGAGUGGGCACAUCUCCCUCUCUCUCUGCUACUUGAGGCUAACAGCUUCUUUUGUUUGGCCCCAGAGCACCGUGGCUCCUGGGCCAUUAGUAGAAGGGAGUGCCAAGGCACACUGAGCCACGCCCAGCGUGGGGGAUGUUUGGAGGCUUCAGGGGCACCCACAGACAGUGUGCGGGUGCAGAGAAGCUUCUAGAGUGCCUACAGUCAGAUCUGAUCAGCCAGUAUAAAAACGGGAUUCUCAUCGAGACUCCGCCCAUUGCCGCGGGUCUCUAGGAGCACGAGCAAGAUGCUGCCGCCGACAGCCCCCCUCCCCGGGAUGGGGACUCCGCUUGCCUUGCCGCCACGUGUGUAAGUAAAACUUCUCGCAGGAUGGCGAGUAUAUUUAUAAUUUUCGUGCACAUAUGCACGUAUAACUUUUCGCGCUCCAUAUGAGAGUGUGUAAAAUUAAUCUUCGCACAAUCGCGGGUGUAUUUUCCUUCCGUGCACAUAUGCACGUGUAACUUUCCGUGCACAUUUGCACGCGUACUUUAAAUUAUUUUCUCGCACAAUUGCGAGUGUAUUUUCCUUCCGUUCACACUUGCACGCAUAACUUUCCGUGCCAAAUACGAGCACGUGUAUAAAUUAUUUCCUCGCACAAUCGCGAGUGGCUGCCGAGAGCCCCUCACACAAUCGUGAGUGUAUUUUCCUCCCGUGCUUCCACAUAAGCACGUGUAGGAUUCCGUGCACACUUGCACGUGUAAGUAAAUUAUCUCUCGCAGGAUUGCGGUUGUACUAUAAAUUUACCCUCGUGGAAUCGUGAGUGUACACUUCCCGUACUCACUACGAGUACGUGUAUCUCUUUAAAAUAAUCCUGCACUGUGUUUAGGCAAGUGUGUAUUUCUCCAGGACUCAGGGACAGCUCCGGCAUUGUUUUGGGUGAAGCCACGUGCAUGCACUCUGUGACCGCCUGUUGUACUAGUUGCUGCCCUUAAAUAAUUUUCCUCAACUGAUAUCCGAACCUGUAUUUAAGUCACUUUUGGAGUGCUAAAACCCUGUUUCUCACCGAUUUAAUAAAAGCUGGUUUUGGAUCUUGCUGUCCCUUAAAUUAACCUACGGGGUGCCUCCGUGACAAUGAUGUUUUAAUUAUCUCCUUUAGGAAGCUUGAGUUACAGCUCUCUGCAUAUCCCUUCUGACUUCGCUGGGGCUGCCAUGGAAAAUGUUGUGGUCCUUGCAGUUAAGGACCCUGAGGCCAGUGCAGCCCUCAGGGACUGGACAGCUAAAGCCUGCACAGUGCUGCAUCCAUCCACACAGAAGUCACCCCUGGCACAACUAAGUGCUGCUGACACCUUGCAUUUCCACCAGAAGUGCAAAGCUGGGCAUCUCAACAACAAUUUCCAUGCCAUCUGGAACUGACACUGUAUACAGACUGAAGAAGAAUAAGCAAAUGCUCACCUAACAAAACUGACAACUUAAGAUAAAAAUGUGGAAGUGGCAGGGAAUAAUUUGUUUAAAGCAUGUUUAAGUGUCAUGUGUUCUUAUGUUCUGGGAAGUUUCCUCACAUAUCUGUAAAAUCUCCAUUGCCUCUACUUUUUUUGCACAAAUGAUUCAACAGCAUAAAUAAUCUCACC